UGCCACAUUCAGUUGCUGAUGUAAUUCCAAAAUUACAUCCUUAAUGUUUAUUUUAUCUAUUUCUCGUGGCAUUUCUUCAUAUAAGCAAAAAACGUUUGUGCUAACAAAACCUCUAUCUUUUGAAAAAGAAAGCUGUUGAAAGUUUGUAGAAAAAAAGUGCAAAGUCCUUAUAAAGUUAUGUAACUGAAUUUGUGAUAAUUACGUAGUGAUAAAUCAAGACCUAUUUGAAAAUAUGUAUUCAUGCCCUCAUAUAUAUUUUUGAGGAAAUCAAAUGCUGACUCGAUAUCUUAAUCAUCUAAAAAUUUCAUUAAAACAUGGCCUAGGUGGUCAACAUGUACUAACAUCGUUUUUUAAAGCUCCUACUCCACAACUCAAAAGUACAUAUCGAUCGAAGUAUUAAAUGCCAUCCCACUCAAUAAGUUUUGUAAAUUCGUUCCUCGACAGAAGCUUACGGAGUUGAGAAUAAAUAAGAUAGAAGCCUCAGUAACUCCUGCUAGAUUUCUUCCAUAUGAUUUUAAACACUGCUCUGAAAUGAAGGAACCUGAAUAAAAGCUCGCUCAAAUAGAUAAUUCCUCAAAUGAAUGUUGUAAGAUGACACUCGCUGAAAUUAACGUUGCUCAAAUGGACUGACACGGUUUGGACUAUUCCCCCUAAGGUGAAGCUUAUUUUUUUUAAUUUGAAUAAUGUUCAAGUUGCAAGGGUCAGAAUUUUUUCCUUUUAGGCGAAAAACAUCGUAUAUUGAAAUUUUACGAUUUAUAAAAAAAAGUGUUUUGAACUGAAUAUCAACUAAACCUUUUGUGUUACAACAAACUUUAUAAUACAACAAACUUAGUUAAAUAAAUUUACAAUCGAAAAUA
rnacentral:lncRNA from 1 species